GAUGAAGAACGCAGCGAAAUGCGAUAAGUAAUGUGAAUUGCAGAAUUCAGUGAAUCAUCGAAUCUUUGAACGCACAUUGCGCCCGCCAGUAUUCUGGCGGGCAUGCCUGUUCGAGCGUCAUUUCAACCAUCAAGCCCCCGGCUUGUGUUGGGGACCUGCGGCUGCCGCAGGCCCUGAAAACCAGUGGCGGGCUCGCUAGUCACUCCGAGCGUAGUAAUACAUCUCGCUCAGGGCGUGCUGCGGGUUCCGGCCGUUAAAAAGCCUUAUUUACCCAAGGUUGACCUCGGAUCAGGUAGGAAGACCCGCUGAACUUAAGCAUAUCAAUAAGCGCAGGA
rnacentral:misc_RNA from 1 species